rnacentral:rRNA from 1 species
GACGAACGCUGGCGGCGUGCCUAAUACAUGCAAGUCGAACGCUGAAGAGAGGAGCUUGCUCUUCUUGGAUGAGUUGCGAACGGGUGAGUAACGCGUAGGUAACCUGCCUUGUAGCGGGAGAUAACUAUUGGAAACGAUAGCUAAUACCGCAUAACAAUGGAUGACACAUGCCAUUUAUUUGAAAGGGGCAAUUGCUCCACUACAAGAUGGACCUGCGUUGUAUUAGCUAGUAGGUGAGGUAAUGGCUCACCUAGGCGACGAUACAUAGCCGACCUGAGAGGGUGAUCGGCCACACUGGGACUGAGACACGGCCCAGACUCCUACGGGAGGCAGCAGUAGGGAAUCUUCGGCAAUGGGGGCAACCCUGACCGAGCAACGCCGCGUGAGUGAAGAAGGUUUUCGGAUCGUAAAGCUCUGUUGUAAGUCAAGAACGGGUGUGAGAGUGGAAAGUUCACACUGUGACGGUAGCUUACCAGAAAGGGACGGCUAACUACGUG